rnacentral:rRNA from 1 species
ACGAACGCUGGCGGCGUGCUUAACACAUGCAAGUCGAACGGAAAGGCCCUGCUUUUGUGGGGUGCUCGAGUGGCGAACGGGUGAGUAACACGUGAGUAACCUGCCCUUGACUUUGGGAUAACUUCAGGAAACUGGGGCUAAUACCGGAUAGGAGCUCCUGCUGCAUGGUGGGGGUUGGAAAGUUUCGGCGGUUGGGGAUGGACUCGCGGCUUAUCAGCUUGUUGGUGGGGUAGUGGCUUACCAAGGCUUUGACGGGCAGCCGGCCUGAGAGGGUGACCGGCCACAUUGGGACUGAGAUACGGCCCAGACUCCUACGGGAGGCAGCAGUGGGGAAUAUUGCACAAUGGGCGGAAGCCUGAUGCAGCAACGCCGCGUGCGGGAUGACGGCCUUCGGGUUGUAAACCGCUUCCGCCUGUGACGAAGCGUGAGUGACGGUAAUGGGUAAAGAAGCACCGGCUAACUACGUG